CUAGAAGGCGGCCUGUUUGUCCAAAAUCUUCCAAAAUUCACACGCUGAUGUAUUGCAGUAAUGUGUUUUGUUAAUUGGCAAAAGCAAACAAGGUCAUACUUGUGUAGAGAUAACACAUUCUGAACAUCAUUCUGAAAGUACUGACUUUUGCUUCAGAUCAUGACAGUUACUCCAUUUGUGCCACCUCCGGGACACUGCUGCACCUCUUCUCAAUGGAACCUUCUUUGAAAACAGAUGUGGCCUGAAAAGAUGAAAGGCAUUUUCUUCGCAGUGGUGAGAAAAAAUAGGCUACUUCUCAUGAGUUCUGAGUGUGGAGCAUACUGUGAGAAGAGACAAAAACUCAGAUGUCUUGCCAGUGAAUAUUUUUCUUCUGAAGUAAGACUAUAUCAGGACAACCAUUUCGUGAAAACCUAGUAGCAGGUCUCUUACAGCCUUUCCUGGAAGCUUGCAUUAACAAAUCCUUUUUCCAUGCUUGUUCUGUGUUGCUUCAAAAUUCCAGGCUAGAUAUUCCUGAUAUGGAGAAGCUCCUAGUUACACUGCAGAAGAUCUUGGGUAUAAGGUAAUCCCUUAUUGCCAUUAUUCUGUUGGUUGUUAUAUGGGUCAAUACACUUGGGAACUUUUCUCUUUCUCUUUUUUCAAGAACAAUUAUUCUUUAUGUACAUAGAUGGCAAGACUUCUUAGAAGAAAACUCAUCUUUUCUUUCCUCCAUCCUUCAGUUUUACUGAGGAACUUUGUAAAGAAUCUCUGAAAAUUCACUCUUGCAUGUGACAAUGAAAAUUGACAAAACUCACAUUUUCCACCAAAGCCAAUUUAUAAUUAUUUUAAUUUCAGACUUUUGGGGCAUGUAAAACUUUAUAAUAGGCUUCCACUGAUUAUUAGUUGAUGGUAACAAAGAUCUUCAUUGUGUCUGUGGCAGCAUACUGCUAGGUUUCAUGGGUGUGUUAUUAAUGGGAUUGUUCUGUUUAUAAAAGCAGGCAUAUAAGCUCAGCCAUGGUUUACCAUAGAGUUCAUUAUUUACAAAACUCUGGGAUUUGUUUGAUUUUCCUAGGAACAAAAUUGAGCUCUAGGGAAAAAAAAGUAUUUUCCUGUGAAAUACUCUGGUGUAAAUCAUAAAUUUCACUGGAAGUAAUCUAAAAGUAAAGUUAGCUCAGAAAUCCAGAUUGUUUUUGAUUACUUUUAUAAUUAAAAGACAACCUCACAGCCAGUGCCAUGAGUCUUUAUAACUGGACUUUGAAAUACUCUUGAAAGUAGAUUCUUUAUUGCUGCUUUUGUAGUAUUUCAUUAUUAUAUUUGCCUUGAUAGCAUUCUGGAUUUUCUGUAUGUGUCCCAUUUCUGAAAUCUCGCUUCUCAUUGAGGAAAUCCAGUUACAAUCUUUCCUUAAGCUUUUGCUAUACCAUCUCUAAAUACCACUUAGUCAAGU
rnacentral:lncRNA from 1 species